AUUACACUGAAGCAAGAGCAGCUGCUGUGGCCUGUGGGUUCGUGGGCAAGCAAGCAGUAGUAGUCAUGCGUGCUUAUCAAAGGGGCGCUUACUGAAGAGUUCCUUGGCAUUCUGUCCACCUCCUCUCGCCGAUCUUGCAGAAAGUUUACCAGUUCUGUUGCAUUUUUUUUGGAGGUGGGCAUACUGCCAAUGGAGCUGUGUAGGCCUCCCUUUGUAAAGCCCACAUGACAUAAAUACGAGCUAUACGUUGGAUUUGA
rnacentral:precursor_RNA from 1 species